GGAGGCGUGGCUAUAGUUUGAUUGACAGACGAUUGUGUGCACUGUGUGAAUGAUUGGAUAGUAUGAGUGUGUAUCAAAAGACCAAGCGAUGUAGUAACUUUGAGAUGAUUUUAUUCAGCAAAAAGGAAAAGAAAAGAGAAACACUUUCUAAGUAAAAGCAACUUGACUGGAUUGAGUUGCAAAAAACCGGCAUGUAACGUAGCUGUGAUUCUGAGGUCUGUAUUUAGGACAUGUUAUACAAUUUACAUGUAACCAAACAUGUUAUUAAUAUGUACUGUAGUUGCAUGUGCAUUUGUAAAUUCAUGUUGACAUUUUCUCAUUUUUUUUGUGUUUUUGUUAAAUAUUAUUAUUGCCAUAUCAGGUUAUGUUAUUCAUUUUUUUUUACAUGGAAAUUUUAAAAUAGGAAUAGGAAACUUUGUUUUUGAUUAACAUGUAGUAUACUUUAACAUCUUACACCUUUCUAUCAUACAGUGUAGUGUUGAUGAAUAAUAUCAUGGGUUUUUGAUAAAGAUUUUUUCCACAAUGAUAAUUAUUUGCAUAUUACGCAUAGAGCACUUUGUUGUAAAAUCAUUUAUUAGAAGUUAAGGGCAAUAUCCCCUUGCAAUUUUACAUUUUUGUGUAUCUGCCAUAUUAAGUUAUUCAUAUUAGAGCUAUUAACAUUAUGCCUACUUGAGUAAAUCUGCAAAUUUUGUGUGACACAUGACCUUGCUAUUAAAAGUUUACAAAAUGUAUUUAAGAAAAAUUUAACUCAACAUAUUGAUUGUUAAAUCGAACUGUUAUCUUUCCUGUAAAAUAUAAUCUUUCACAUAACUGCAUAUCUAAGUGAAUGCAGGUGGGUACACAUUUAAUUUAGUAUUUUUAGUUUGAUUCCACACUACUUGUUUUAUGUUUAUAAUAUGUAGUGUUCUGAAGACAAAAUCUUGUUUUUUGUGUAUUUUAAAAACAUUUGAAUUUCACGGGCAAAGUGAAACUAUCUAUAUUUUUCAUUGCAUGAUUUGUAUCUUUUGGAAAAAAAAUUAAUGUAAGAAAUAUUAAAUUGAUACGGAAAAUUU
rnacentral:misc_RNA from 1 species